GAUGAACGCUGGCGGCGCGCCUAACACAUGCAAGUCGAACGAUUAAAGCACCUUCGGGUGUGUAUAAAGUGGCGAACGGCUGAGUAACACGUGGGCAACCUGCCCCUUUCAUUGGGAUAGCCACGGGAAACCGUGGAUAAUACCGAAUACUUCGAGACUUCCGCAUGGAAGACUCGAGAAAGCUCCGGCGGAGAGGGAUGGGCCCGCGGCCUGUUAGCUUGUUGGUGGGGUAACGGCCUACCAAGGCAAUGAUGGGUAGCUGGGUUGAGAGACCGACCAGCCAGAUUGGAACGGAGACACGGCCCGGCCUCCUACGGGGGGCAGCAGUGGGGAAUCUGGAAAAAGGGGAGAAGGCCGGAUGCAGCGACCCCGCGUGGGGGAGGAAGGCUUUGGGUUUAUAAACGGCUUUCAGCGGGGAGGGGGGGAAGGUGACGGUACCUGAAAAAGAACCCCCGGCUACCUACGUG
rnacentral:rRNA from 1 species